UUCUGAGACUCUCCACGCUGCUGCGAUCAUUUGCCCAAAAGGAUCAUGAAAAUGGGAGAGCAUGGGUCUUUCAGAAUUCACAGGGCCUGACAGAGAAGCGAGACAGAUGUGUUUAUACUCGUGAAAGAGGUGGUCGAGAUGGCAGUUCUGCUGGAGGGAGAACAGAGCUGUUAUUGAAAUGCCGCUGAUGAAAGUCCAGUGUGAAAUGAGGAAGA
rnacentral:lncRNA from 1 species